rnacentral:rRNA from 1 species
GAUGAACGCUGGCGGCGUGCUUAACACAUGCAAGUCGAACGGUGCCUCUGGAGCUUGCUCCUGUGGAUCAGUGGCGAACGGGUGAGUAACACGUGAGCAAUCUGCCCUGGACUCUGGGAUAAGCGUUGGAAACGACGUCUAAUACCGGAUACGAGGCGUGGGGGCAUCCCCAACGCCUGGAAAGAACUUCGGUCCAGGAUGAGCUCGCGGCCUAUCCGGUAGUUGGUGAGGUAACGGCUCACCAAGCCGACGACGGGUAGCCGGCCUGAGAGGGUGACCGGCCACACUGGGACUGAGACACGGCCCAGACUCCUACGGGAGGCAGCAGUGGGGAAUAUUGCACAAUGGGCGCAAGCCUGAUGCAGCAACGCCGCGUGAGGGACGACGGCCUUCGGGUUGUAAACCUCUUUUAGCAGGGAAGAAGCGAAAGUGACGGUACCUGCAGAAAAAGCACCGGCUAACUACGUGCCAGCAGCCGCCGUAACAC